GACAUUAGGUGGCCUCCAGGUCAGAACUGGUCUUCUGGUUGGGAUGCCAAGAGCUAUAAAUUUUGCUUUACAUACCCCCUGGCUUCAAGCCAGGCUGCCUCCCCGCCCCCAGAAUGAAAUCCAGGAGGGGAGGCAACCACACCUAGCCUGGGCUCCUUGAAGCUAUAAAGACAUGAUAACAUAGGAACACAGUUCGUGCCACACUGCAUGUGGGCAAGCAAAUGUUUAAUUUAAGACCCCAUCAUUUGCCCUAUAAAUACAGCCGUGAUGGGGAUGGUCAGUUGGAAGUCUCACCUGAGGGGAGGAUGGUCUCCUCACACUUCUCCAUCCAGACUCCAGUUUGGCUGACUCCACAGGGCUUCCCCAGCUAGUGAGAGGCUGGAUGUUGUAAGUGCCCGAUUUGAUGUAACUUUGGCUUAUUCUCCUUUACUGCUUACUAUUGCCCUCAUCUAUGCGUCGAUUUCCCUUUUCAUCUUUCUAUUAGAUUUUUAUAAUAUCAAUAAGGUGUUUCUUCCCCUUCAAAAACAAGAGUAGGACAAAUCCGUGAAUCUUUUCUUUACAGCAGGAGGGAAAGUCAGGGAAUGCUGCAUGAAGCUACUCCUGUCUGUGCCUUUCCAGGCUAUGUAUUCCAGAACCAUACUGUGGUAUGAAGUUGUGCUUUUUAACACCUGAAGUACAUUUUGGAAUAGUGAGCAGAAAAAUGAAUGCGAUUAAGGACUAUUCCAAAGAGCAGAUGCUCAAUGCUGGAGGAAAGAGGGAACGAGCAAGAAGUUUAUUUGAUUUAAUUUCUUAUACAUUUUGAAUUCGCUACAUAUACUCAGAAGUUACCUGUUUAGAACAAGUACGAGGAAGAGCUUUUCUCUUCCUUCCAGCCCCGAGGACUCUGCACGUGUUAAAAGAGCAAGGACUGGAGAGCUAAGCCAUCCGUAAGUGUACAGUCUAAAGCUAAAUGAGCUAAGAGAAAAAUUGAAAAC
rnacentral:lncRNA from 12 species